AUAAUAAUGAUGAUGGGGAAUAGUAAAAAGAACAAUUUUUUUAAGAGAGUACGUGGUCGGUGUAAACGUAUUAUGAUUGUAUUUUGAACUCACCUCGGAGUUGUCUGUUGAAAUUAAAGUAGGCGGAAACGGAAUCUUCCGUUAUAAAGAUUAAAGAGCCGGCGAACCAAUGCCGGAAGAUAGGUGGUACCGCGAGUAUUUUCGUCCUAUAU
rnacentral:ncRNA from 1 species